UACGAAGGGGGCUAGCGUUGUUCGGAAUUACUGGGCGUAAAGGGCGCGUAGGCGGUGUGUCAAGUCAGGCGUGAAAGCCCCGGGCUCAACCUGGGAACCGCGCUUGAGACUGGCACGCUCGAGUUCGGGAGAGGAUGGUGGAAUUCCCAGUGUAGAGGUGAAAUUCGUAGAUAUUGGGAAGAACACCGAUGGCGAAGGCAGCCAGUCUGGACCGACACUGACGCUGAGGCGCGGAAAGCGUGGGGAGCAAACAGG
rnacentral:rRNA from 1 species